rnacentral:rRNA from 1 species
UAGGUGGUUUGUCGCGUUGUUCGUGAAAACCGGGGGCUUAACCCUCGGCGUGCGGGCGAUACGGGCAGACUUGAGUACUGCAGGGGAGACUGGAAUUCCUGGUGUAGCGGUGGAAUGCGCAGAUAUCAGGAGGAACACCGGUGGCGAAGGCGGGUCUCUGGGCAGUAACUGACGCUGAGGAGCGAAAGCGUGGGGAGCGAACAGGAUUAGAUACCCUGGUAGUCCACGCCGUAAACGGUGGGUACUAGGUGUGGGUUUCCUUCCUUGGGAUCCGUGCCGU